UCUGUGACCUGCUGAUGGGUCAUAACCUGCAGGGUUUUUGUUUUAUUUUGUUUUGUUUUUGUUGACAGAGUCUCGCACUGUCACCCAGGCUGGAGUGCAGUAGCGCGAUCUUGGCUCACUGCAGCCUCCACCUCCAGGGUUCAAGUAAUUCUCCUGCCUCAGCCUCCUGAGUAGCUGAGAUUACAGGCACCCGCCACCACGCCUGGCUGAUUUUUUUUUUUUGUAUUUUUAGUAGAGACAGGGUUUCACCAUGUUGGUCAGGCUGAUCUUAAACUCCUGACCUCGUGAUCCACCUGCUUCAGCCUCCCAAAGUGCUGGGAUUAUAGGUGUGAGCCACCAUGCCUGGCCAUAACCUGCAGUUUUAAACAUAUCGGGCUGAAUAUAGUUGAGGGUGCUUAAAUGCUAUGAUGCUGUGAUUCAGCUGGGCCAGGAAUAUAGAGAACAGUGGCACCCUACUCUGUGUUGGGCCAGAGAUUGCUGAAAUGUCUAGCAUAUUAGAUCAACCAGAUUUUUAGUUCUAAAGGUGAAACCAGAAGCAUUUUUUUUUCCUCUCAAAAACACACAUAGACUCAGAGGUAUGGAUACAAUACCUGAAGGGCUAUAGUUCUUUUUCCAGGAUUGUCCCUCUCAGCAGGAAUGGAGGAUCCCUAGCUAGAGAGGAGAGCUGGGGGUGACACCUUCUUGCCCAGUGGAGGACAGCUGGUGGUGUGGCCUCAACAGGUUCUUAGGAAGGUGAGUUCCUUAGCCUUUCUACUAGUGAGGUGUUUGGGUUAAGGUGCAGCACCAUUGACUGGGCCCGUGUGGGGAGGAUAUUCAAAGCAUUUCACAAUUACACAGCUGCCUGGGCACCGACAGAGUCCUAGAGAAGUGUCGACUGUGCCAGGUCCAACCCUUCAGUCGCUGGAUCAUGGGGAGGCAUGGAGUCCCAUUGUAGAGGCUGGGUGGUGGUAGUAGGCAUGCAGGAAUUCAGGGAAGCUGCUACUUACCACCAUGUAAAAAGGAUUUCAAUAUUUUCACCCUGGUAGGGAUGCACCAGUGUGUGCUUCUCAGCCUCAGUCCUGGACGUAUGCCCCAUUGCCCUAAGGUUGUCCCAAAGAGGCCACCAUUAGACCUCACCUUUUAUGGACAGGUGGGAGAUGUCUGAACACAACCACAUGUUGCCCAGUGACAGGGGCUGGGCUGACCAGGACACGGAGAGUGACUUGCCUUCUGGGGCUGAGCCAGUCACUCAUACUCCCAGCGUAGCCCUGGAGCUUCACUGCAACUGCUAUGUUACAGGAAGUUGUACCAGCAGCUCUACACUAAGGUGUAUAGUCGGUGACCACUUUAAAGAAAGACUCAUUAGAAAGAGGCAUUGUUUGGGGAGGCCAACAGGCCAGCUGUUGGGGACCAUGCCAGAGGUACUGUGUCAAGGUACCUGGCUUGAUGCUUACUUCCCAUUGUCUGUUUCUUGAGUUUAUUUUGCGCCAUCUGCCUUCUUCCACCUGAUUUGGAAUUCCAGGACUGCUGUGUAGGCUUCUCUUCAGAUGAGAUGCAGCAGUGUUCUCAACUGGCAGGGGCAGCUUUCUUGGGGGCAGGGACUGGGCAUCUGUGUUAUCUAUCCUGGGCCCAUCUGUUUCUUUCCCCUUGACACCCACCACAGGGGUCUGUGUACAAGAGGGUUGGUUGAUACCAGUUUUAAUGAGGGAACCUAUCUUCUUGGAACCAUCCAGAAGCUGUGGUCUUUUUCCCUGGAACACCCCACCCCCGACAUCCCAGUGCUGGAUUCAAGCUGGUGAACCACAGGUCAAAAUUUUCAGUUGCUGUCUUCCAGGGCCUUGGUUGUUCCAUUGUCCCCUCUCCCUGUACCAGGAUCAUCGUGAUCCAAUGGAUUUGAUGGAGUUGCUACACCCAGCUUGGCGUGCAGAGGUGUUUGGCACAUCCCUGCCUGUGGAAUUCUACGCUCUAAGGGAGAUGCUGCCAGGGUAUUACCUGAUUCACGAGGCAUGUCCUACCAUCUGUGUUAUAUUUUUUUUAAGAUCAGAAUUAUGAAUAUUUCAGGAGUCAUCUGGGAUCUGAAGAAGCAAGAACCCACUUUCUGAGUCUUUUCCUUAACCAUUCAUAGGGGGUAAGAAAUGUCACAGGUUUGUUGUGAAGGUCAAAUGAAAGAGAACUUGAGAAAAUUUGCAAAUCCUUCAGUUCAAGGUGAAAGAAGGUAAUUUAUUAUUAAUUCAUAUUGUUAUUAUGUAGCAUUUCUUAGAAUAUGUAUACCAAAUGCCUUUUUUGACUGGUGCAAUCUUUCUAUAAUUCCAUUCUGGGAUGUUAGCUUAUUUGCUUAGAGAAUGGUGUAAAGAGGGGAGCCCGAGGCCGGCAGAUCACCUGAGGUCAGGAGUUCAAGACUAGCCUGGCUAACAUGGUGAAACCCUGUCUCUACUAAAAAUACAAAAAUUAGCCAGGUAUGGUGGCGGGCACCUGUAAUCCUGGCUACUAGGGAGGCUGAGGCAGAAUUGCUUGAACCCAGGAGGCGGAGGUUGCAUUGAGCUGAGAUCAUGCCAUUGCAUUCCACUCUAGCCUGGGUGACAAGAACGAAAUUCCAUGC
rnacentral:lncRNA from 1 species